rnacentral:rRNA from 1 species
AUUGAACGCUGGCGGCAGGCCUAACACAUGCAAGUCGAACGAGUGGCGGACGGGUGAGUAAUGUCUGGGAAACUGCCCGAUGGAGGGGGAUAACUACUGGAACAGGUAGCUAAUACCGCAUACCAUCGGAUGUGCCCAGAUGGGAUUAGCUAGUAGGUGGGGUAACGGCUUACCUAGGCGACGAGCCCUAGCUGGUCUGAGAGGAUGACCAGCCAAACUGUAACUGAGACACGGUCCAGACUCCUACGGGAGGCAGAAGGGGGGAAUAUUGCACAAUGGGCGCAAGCCUGACGCAGCCAUGCGGCGGGGAUGAAGAAGGCCUUCGGGUUGUAAAGUACUUUCAGCGAGGAGGCGUUACUCGCAGAAGAAGCAUCGGCUAACUCCGUGCCAGCCGCCGCGGUAAUUC